UAAAACUGACCCAGUAAGAUGUGCUCACAUCUGCACGUCUGCAGAUUUAAUAAUUCAAAAAACAAUUAGUGAUAUUGGGACACUUUCCACACUUUAAGCUCUUUGAUUUCUUAACAUUAUUAUUCAACAGCCAAUAGAGAGCCUUUCGUUGUGGUGCAACUCUUCAUCAUCAAAUGAAAGUGUAAGGCAGAUUUUCUUAGCAGUAUAUUGUAGAAGUACAAAAUAUAAAAGUAAAAUGAAAAACAAACAGAAAGAUAUAGCAUUUCCUGAUUUAGUGAACUUUUAUGAUGCUCUUAAUUUGAUUUUAUUUUCACUUCUCAAUGUCGCCUAAAAUGUAUUUUAUAGCUGUGCAGGUAAAUAAAUAAGAACGGCAUCUUGUUUUUCAACUUAUAUAAAUCUAUUUUCGUUCUUUAAUUUAAAAGCCUGUAAUGUUUCUAUGGUUCACUCUGUUAGAUGUUGUACCACAGUUUGUCCAACAGAUGGCAGCACAGAGCCACUGGGAAUCUUGACUUCAGAGUUUCUGACUCAGGAAAAUAGAGCUUAGAAAAACGAGUCUUUUUUAUAUAUACUCAUGUUUCUGAUGGAGAUUAACAAGUGACCGUCUUCAUACAGAUGUCCACCUGUAUAAUUCAUGAUUCAAAUAAUGUCAUCACGAUAGUAUUUAAGUAUUUAAUUUCAUCGUUUUACCUUUUGGUUGGUGCAGCUAUUUAAUAAGAUUAAUGGUCUUUAACUGAUCCAGGUCAUUUGGACCCAGCAUGUUCAGCCAGGUAUACACAGGCUGUGGAAAGACUCCACUGUGGAAAUACUAUAUUUGUUUUUAUAGUAAUACUGUGCUGAAUAAAAUACUACUGUGAAAGAUGGCCUUGGUUUCAUGUUAUUACAAUUACUUUUAUCUUUUGCAAAAGUCAGCUCCUCAUUUUUUCUGAUUCAAGCCUUUAAGUUACAUAAACACAUGUCUAUACACUUGGAGGCCUACAGAUGGCGGUCUUUCAUUUAGUUCCAUCAUAUUUCCUGCAUCAGCAAAGCGAAAAGUGCAGCACAGUUUUUAUUGGCUGGAUGUUGUAUUGAUAUUAAUGCAGGAUGUGUUUGUGCGUGUGUUUGUGUGUGUGUGUGUGUGUGUGUGUGUGUGUGUCUUGAAGUGUCUAAGUGAGCUCUCUCUGUAAAGGAAAUUAUAAAUAAUAUAAAGGAAACAAUAACUAAUGAAAAAAUAAAAUAAUAUACUUUUUUUUCUUCUGAAAUAUCUUGUCAUUCAGACCAGAGGCGGCUGCUGUUUCUGCUGAUGUCAAGCGGAAAACAGGAUCAACCUCACGCCUACAGACAAACAGAUCUGCAGGGUCCCACACCAACACAACACAGAGCCGCUUCAUGAUGACUGAUGGGAGACAUGUUCUCUCACUGAGAUGCACCGAUUGGGGUCAUCUCCUCAACAACCAUCUCGUCACCGGGUUCCACAGGAAAUCGGACUCGUCUUUAACACUCUUCCAAUCUCUCUUAAAGACCCAUUGUCUGUGCUUUAAUAGCAUUUACCCUUUUCAAAGCAUUGAGUAAAAAAUUAAAACCUAAGUUACCUGACAA